GAUGAACGCUAGCUACAGGCUUAACACAUGCAAGUCGCAGGUACUGGCGCACGGGUGAGUAAUAUAUAGCUAAUCUGCCCCUUGCUGGAGGACAACAGUUAGAAAUGACUGCUAAUACUCCAUAGCAAGGGAUGAGACUAUAUCGUAUCAGCUAGUCGGUGGGGUAACGGCCUACCGAGGCUAUGACGCGUAACUGGUCUGAGAGGAUGAUCAGUAACAUUGGAACUGAGACACGGUCCAAACUCCUACGGGAGUCAGCAGUAGGGAAUAGUGCGCAAUGGGGGAAACCCUGACGCAGCAACGCCGCGUGGAGGAUGACACGUUUCGGAGCGUAAACUCCUUUUGUUAGGGAAGCGGUACCUAACGAAUAAGCACCGGCUAACUCCGUGCCAGCAGCCGCGGUAAUUC
rnacentral:rRNA from 1 species